rnacentral:rRNA from 1 species
ACUAGCAGUAAGAGUUUGAUCAUGGCUCAGGAUCAACGCUGGCGGCGUGCCUAAUGCAUGCAAGUCGGACGGGUCGCCUUCGGGCGGCUCACGUGGCGGACGGGUGCGUAGCACGUGGGCAAGCUGCCCCGGGCGGGGGAUAGCCGGCGGAAACGCCGGGCAAUUCCGCGUACGUUCACCGGCCGGUGGGGUUGGUGAAGAAAGGGUCUUCGGACUCACCCUGGGAGGCGCCUGCGGCCGAUUAGCUGGUUGGUGGGGUAACGGCCUACCAAGGCGGUGAUCGGUAGCUGGUCUGAGAGGACGAUCAGCAACAUUGGGACUGAGACACUGCCCAGACUCCUACGGGAGGCUGCAGUCGAGGAUCUUUAGCAAUGCCCGAAAGGGUGACUAUGCGACGCCGCGUGGAGGAUGAAGGCCUUCGGGUUGUAAACUCCUGUCAGGGGGGAAGAAACUUUACCGGUUAAGAGCUGGUAAACUGACAUCACCCCCAAAGGAAGCCACGGCUAACUCUGUGCCAGCCGCCGCGGUAAUAC